rnacentral:rRNA from 1 species
GAUCCUGGCUCAGGAUGAACGCUGGCGGCGUGCUUAACACAUGCAAGUCGAACGAAGCAACCAUGAAGCCUGGCGAUUGGUUGACUGAGUGGCGGACGGGUGAGUAACGCGUGGGUAACCUGCCUCAUACAGGGGGACAACAGUUAGAAAUGACUGCUAAUACCGCAUAACCCGCUAGGGCCGCAUGGCCCGGACGGAAAAGGAGUAAUCCGGUAUGAGAUGGACCCGCGUCUGAUUAGCUGG